CCUACGGGAGGCAGCAGUGAGGAAUAUUGGUCAAUGGACGAGAGUCUGAACCAGCCAAGUAGCGUGAAGGAUGACUGCCCUAUGGGUUGUAAACUUCUUUUAUAAAGGAAUAAAACGAGGCACGUGUGCCUUUUUGCAUGUACUUUAUUACUAAGGAUCUGCUAACUCCGUGCCAGCAGCCGCGGUAAUACUGCAGAUCCGAGCGUUAUCCGGAUUUAUUUGGUGUAAAGGGAGCGUAGAUGGGUUGUUAAGUCAGUUGUGAAAGUUUGCGGCUCAACCGUAAAAUUGCAAUUGAUACUGGCAGUCUUGAGUACAGUGGAGGUAGGCGGAAUUCGUGGUGUAGCGGUGAAAUGCUUAGAUAUCACGAAGAACCCCGAUUGCGAAGGCAGCUUACUAAACUGUGACUGACAUUGAUGCUCGAAAGUGUGGGUAUCAAACAGGAUUAGAUACCCUGGUAGUC
rnacentral:rRNA from 1 species